rnacentral:rRNA from 1 species
AUUGAACGCUGGCGGCAGGCCUAACACAUGCAAGUCGAGCGGAUGAGGGAAGCUUGCUUCCCGAUUUAGCGGCGGACGGGUGAGUAAUGCCUAGGAAUCUGCCUAUUAGUGGGGGAUAACGUUCCGAAAGGAACGCUAAUACCGCAUACGUCCUACGGGAGAAAGUGGGGGAUCUUCGGACCUCACGCUAAUAGAUGAGCCUAGGUCGGAUUAGCUAGUUGGGGAGGUAACGGCUCACCAAGGCGACGAUCCGUAGCGGGGCUGAGAGGAUGAUCAGCCACACUGGAACUGAGACACGGUCCAGACUCCUACGGGAGGAAGCAGUGGGGAAUAUUGGACAAUGGGCGAAAGCCUGAUCCAGCCAUGCCGCGUGUGUGAAGAAGGUCUUCGGAUUGUAAAGCACUUUAAGUUGGGAGGAAGGGUUGUAAGCUAAUAUCUUGCAGCUUUGACGUUACCAACAGAAUAAGCACCGGCUAACUCUGUGCCAGCCGCCGCGGUAACAC